GAGCACGUAGGUGGGUUUGUAAGUCAGACGUGAAAGCCUUCUGUUCAACGGAAGAAUUGCAUCUGAAACUACAAACCUUGAGUGUAGGAGGGGAGAAUGGAACUUCUGGUGGAGCGGUGAAAUACGUAGGUAUCAGAAGGAACGCCGGCGGCGAAAGCGAUUCUCUGGCCUAUUACUGACACUCAGUGUGCGAAAGCUAGGGGAGCAAACGGGAUUAGAUACCCCGGUAGUCCUAGCCGUAAACGAUGGGCACUAAGUAGAGGG
rnacentral:rRNA from 1 species